UGCUGACGUGGCUACGUACAAAGUAUUCGGGAACUGCUCACAUUAUAGGCGCCAUCUUGGAUUUUUUCCGUUGAAAUCCUUCCGACAUCCGAUAUCGGAUUGGAUCGAUCGAUAUCGAUACUAACGAUCUACUAGGAUACUAACGAUCUCCGUUUAUUGAAGUGGAUAUUAUGUAGAGAACUAGCUCUUGGAGACGUAGCGCACGGUUUGCAUGAGGUCGUUCUUGCCGCGCAGCACGCGGCCCUUCCCGGGGGCCCUUGUGCGUGUCCUUAAUGGGCUCGUCGUCCGCCGCCUGGACCUGGACACCAGACAUAACGUUAUUACGCCAUACAAUCGUCAUCAAGUUUAUCGAGGACAAUCGUUAUCAUUCAUCAAGUUUAUCGAAGCGGCCGAGGUGGCCAAAUAUAUCUACUCGCCUCUAUUGACAAGGCGGCGUCAGAGUGCAUGUUCAGGUGUUUGAGCGUCCGGGCGGACAAAUAUCGGAUGACAACUGUACAUAAUAGUUCUAACAGCAACACUCAUAAUUGACCAUUGGUAGACUCCGCGAACGAAAUGCAACUGUCAUAGUCGCAUUAUGAGUAAUAGAAAUACCUUGACAUGAUUUAUAUAUAUUAACUAUGUUGUACAAAUAAAUGCUUUUACUUUAUGUAACUGAACUCGACUGUAGGUACAUGGGUGAUAAAGAUGAUUUCUCAGAAACUAUGAGAUAUCAUUUACCGACAUUAAAAACAGAGCUUCUUUGUUCCUUAAAAAUACACUUUUCGAUGUAAGUAGUUCUUGCCAUCGACUCGCGAAGAACAGUAUUGAGUUCGUACAAAAUAUUUUGUUUACUAAACUUUUAUUCUCUUCGGUUAGCGCGAACUUUUAAGUAACUUUUUCCAAUUUUUUAUUGUAACAAAUCGUUGAGGGCAAGUACUUAGGUAUAUCGAAAAAUACAAGUUAUAAUUACUGCAAAAUGGUGAAACUAACUACGAAUCAAGUGCAGUUCUACAAAGACUACGGGUACCUCCAAGUGUCCGGUAUCUUUACCGAACAGGAGUUGGCAGAAAUGUCCCAAGAGUACGACAGGCUGUUCCGAGAGCACAAACCUAACAUGGAGACGAAGCAGGGAGCGCUGAUUAGCAAGGCUGACAACGAGGAAUGUUCUGUAUUAACCGUCCACAAUGUAGAAUUCCACAGCAGGGUCUUCGGCAAGCUGCUUCAAAACGAGAACCUCCUGGACGCCCUCGAGGGCGUGAUGAGCACGCCCGACAUCCUCCUCCACCACACCAAGGCUCACAGCAAGCCUGCAAGAAACGAAGCGCCUUACUUGAUGCACCAGGACUACCACUACUUCCCUCACAAGAACGUCUCCAUGACCGCAGCCGUCAUCCACUUCGACGACGCCCAUCCCGAUAACGGCGGACUGUGCAUCUACCCUCGCUCGCACAAGCUCGGCCCGCUGAAGGACGUUGGCACAGUUGAGAAGGGAAAGGCCUUCCAUUACAUGGAUCCUGAAGAAUGGCCGAUCGAGAAGGCCACGCCAGUAGUCGCCAAGAGGGGGGACGUCGUGUUCUUCUCCUACUUGACAGUACACGGCAGCUACAGCAACCUUUCCGACCGCGUACGGCGGAUGCUGUUUAUCUAGGUGAGCUGCGCACUAGGCGUAGACACCAACCCUGUUGCACUCUUGUACCUUGAUCUACUAAGUACUGAUGUGUAGGCCUUCGGUGCCGACGACGAACCCAUCAAGGACACGCAAAAGAGCCCCGGACGAGGCCUGGUGCUCCGCAGCAGGAACGACGAGGAGGAAACCAGUAAUAUUAUAGGAUUAUUACUAGUUAGAGAUAAGGAAUAACUUAU